GUUUCCAUUUAUGUGUUAGCAAUAUCUCCAGCCUGCAACUGUCUUCUAAGGGACUUGGAUGAAUCUGGAAACCAUAAUUCUCAGCAAAGUGACACAAGAACAGAAAAUCAAACACCGUAUGUUCUUACUCAUAGUGAGAAUUUCCUGUACUAGUCUUCAUUCAUUUACUAUAGGUCUGAAAACCUACGGGAGUGAUUUUAUUAUUUAUAUGACCCUCUACUUAAUAGAAAACACAGCCCUAUAAACAUGAAAUU
rnacentral:lncRNA from 1 species